GUGAGAGAUACUGUUCGCAGAUGUUUCAACGAAUGUUGAGCGGAUAAUCGGAAUUUUCCUGUUAUUCUAGGUUCCGAUCUUGUAUCAGUGGGUGUUUUGGGUAAUUUCCGGCAUCCCUGGUUUUAUUCCGACGAGUUCUUCAAAUUCUAGGGUUUUCCGAAUUUCGGACCUAGAGCUUUGGUGUUAUCCGAUGACUUUGUCUUCGCUUGAUAGACGUUUUGGGU
rnacentral:lncRNA from 1 species